rnacentral:rRNA from 1 species
UGGGGAAUUUUGCACAAUGGGGGAAACCCUGAUGCAGCGACGCCGCGUGAUUUAGAAGGCCUUCGGGUUGUAAAAAUCUUUUCUAUGGGAAGAAAAUGACAGUACCAUAGGAAUAAGGACCGGCUAAUUACGUGCCAGCAGCCGCGGUAAUACGUAAGGUCCGAGCGUUGUCCGGAAUCAUUGGGCGUAAAGGUUACGUGGGCGGGUAAGCAAGUUAGAAGUGAAAUCCUAUAGCUCAACUAUAGUAGCUUUUAAAACUGCUCAUCUUGAGGUAUGGAAGGGAAAGUGGAAUUCCUAGUGUAGCGGUGAAAUGCGCAGAUAUUAGGAGGAAUACCGGUGGCGAAGGCGACUUUCUGGCCAUAACCUGACGCUGAGGUACGAAAGCGUGGGUAGCAAACAGG